ensembl:lncRNA
GAGAAACCUCAUCUGCAGUAAAGUCCACAGAAGCUGUUGGAUCAGAUAAAGUGAUCAGGAUCUCUAAAGGAGGAAAAUACCAAUGCAGAGGGCGGAGAACAGGCACAACUUUACUCAUAGCACAAAGUGAUCCAGUCAUCAUUCAGGAAACUGUGUUUGAUCUCCCUCAUCCAUGUCUGUGUGUUCUGCCUACAAGCCUGUCAAGUUUAUUUUUGUUUUCCAGUUUAGUUCUUUUUUUGUGUGCAGCAAUAAAGCUGCUAUUUUGAGUUCAAGCUUUGCUUCUGUGUUGAGUCUGCAGUUUGCACACAGACCGUGACACCAGUUGCUGUUAUCAGUUACAGUUUUAGGACAGAGUGACGUCUCUCUAUGUGAUUGGCUCAUUUCAGAGGCCAUCCUGACCAAUGGCUGUGGAGCUGUCAUAGAAACAUUUUUGAAUUAUUCUGAAGACACUCUGAAGAGUCAGCUCAGAGAUAUGAGAGAGUUUAAUAAAGAUUUCUCUGAGCCUGUGAUUCUCACGUGAUUAUGAACAGGACUGACUGAGGAUCAGUGAAGAGGGUGAAACACAGCGAGGGUGUAAAGAACUUCAUGUUCUGGGACCAUCAAACAUAUUUUUCUGUGAGACAAACAAUGAGACAAGUAUAACAAUAAUAAUAGUUUAAUAUUUAAUGACUGAAACAAAAUGGUUUGCUAUGCUGAGGUAUGAGCUGCAGAUGUGAGCAGCACAUUUUCUGUCCAGUCACUGACUGGGCGAUCAGACCUCUGUACUGGUUGUUUGUGGCUCUGUAGACAGACAUGUGACCUAGAAGCACGGCUACAGUCAUCGACAUCAUCAUGACCUGUGAAGCAAUAAUUACAUGUGUGUGAGCCACGUCUCCUAAUUUUUUAAAGAUGAUUUUUUUAGGCCUUUUAUCUUUUAUUGGAUAGAGCCAUUGUAGGGGUGCAGCUGGGACUUGAACCUGGCCGUACUGCUCACCCACUCAGCUGAAUUUUUAAUGAUAUAAUGGUUCUGGAAUAAAAAUACAAACAGAGAUUUGUCAUGUUUGUCACAGACUACGGCCCUUUGGUGUUAAAUUCUGAUACUAAAUACACACACACAAAUUAAAAAAGUGUUAAUAAUUGACCCAAACAUUCAAUUACAUAGCUCGAUGUUAUUUUAUAUGUAGAUGGAAAUAACAGUGAAUGAUGUUUUUGAUGAUGCAGUGUUUGCUCACUUUUCCUUUUUACUGGAAACCACUCCAUCCUUUUAUUUUAUUUAUAUAUAUAUAGAAUCAGAGGAUAAAUGUUUGAAAUGACUUCAGCUGUUUUAAAAUUAUUGAUCUGAACAGAAAGGUGAACAUAAAAC